GACGAACGCUGGCGGCGUGCUUAACACAUGCAAGUCGAACGGAAAGGCCCUGCUUUUGUGGGGUGCUCGAGUGGCGAACGGGUGAGUAACACGUGAGUAACCUGCCCUUGACUUUGGGAUAACUUCAGGAAACUGGGGCUAAUACCGGAUAGGAGCUCCUGCUGCAUGGUGGGGGUUGGAAAGUUUCGGCGGGUGGGGAUGGACUCGCGGCUUAUCAGCUUGUUGGUGGGGUAGUGGCUUACCAAGGCUUUGACGGGUAGCCGGCCUGAGAGGGUGACCGGCCACAUUGGGACUGAGAUACGGCCCAGACUCGUACGGGAGGCAGCAGUGGGGAAUAUUGCACAAUGGGCGGAAGCCUGAUGAAGAAACGCCGCGUGCGGGAUGACGGCCUUCGGGUUGUAAACCGCUUUCGCCUGUGACGAAGCGUGAGUGACGGUAAUGGGUAAAGAAGCACCGGCUAACUACGUG
rnacentral:rRNA from 1 species